GAUGAACGCUGGCGGCGUGCCUAAUACAUGCAAGUCGAACGAAGCCUUCGGGCUUAGUGGCGAACGGGUGAGUAACACGUUGGUACCUACCCUCUAGUGGGGAAUAACUGGCCGAAAGGUCGGCUAAUACCGCAUAAUACCGCAAGGUUAAAGCAGCAAUGCGCUAGAGGAGGGGCCUGCGUCCCAUUAGCUUGUUGGUAGUGUAAUGGACUACCAAGGCGACGAUGGGUAGCUGGAUCGAGAGGUUGACCAGCCACACUGGGACUGAGAUACGGCCCAGACUCCUACGGGAGGCAGCAGUAAGGAAUCUUCCACAAUGGACGAAAGUCUGAUGGAGCAACGCCGCGUGCAGGAUGACGGCCUUCGGGUUGUAAACUGCUUUUAUAUGGGAAGAUUAUGACGGUACCAUAUGAAUAAGGACCGGCUAACUACGUGCCAGCAGCCGCCGUAACAC
rnacentral:rRNA from 1 species